rnacentral:lncRNA from 1 species
CUUUCGCCCGAGGCGGGCUGCGGGCUGCUGGGGUCUGGUGCGGAGGGCCAACUUCUGGGAAUAACCUGGCUGUGGGCUUAAAAAUCGUAGUCAUUCAUUAUCACGGGCUUCUCUCUCUCGAAUACCUUUAACAUUUAUCGCCUUGUUAGUCUCCACAUCCACCUCCGUGAAAGAGAUGGAGUCUCGCUAUAUUUCCCAGUCUGGCCUCAAACUCCUGAUCUUAAGGGAUCCCCAGCUCAACCUCUCCCAGCAGCUGGGACUACCGGGCUGUCAAAUUUACAUUAACUAUGAGAAUUAAGCAGAAUCCGAAAGUCAUCUGAGUUGGCUAUCUGCACGUUCUCUCUGUACCAGUGAACUUGAACUGUGGCUGUGGCCUGGAUUCCGCAUUCAAACAUGACCAACUGACCUCUGGUUGUAGGGAUGUCUUGAAGAUGCUGAAGAACAAACACAGAGUUCAGAGGAUGGAAGAAACUGUUAUACCAUCUACAAUGAUUUGAAAUGCCAUUUGCAACUGCAGUUGACCGUGGGUUAUUGAAACCACAGAAAGUGAAACUGGAUAACGAGGGGAAACACUAUCCCAGCCUCAACAAGGAGCUUGAUUUGGGCACAGAAACAGGAGAAAGAGACCUGCCUUGCCUCCCUUAUCCAACCGGAAGUAUUCUUCUUCUUCUGUCUUCAAUUUAUUGCAUGAUCACAUUUAUUGCAUGGGUGGCUUCAGGAAGGAUUUUAGGGAUUCCUGGAAAUAAUCAGUCUUGAAAUACUCCCCUCUUCUUCCUUCAUCUAGGAUGCUUCCUCUUCUCUCAAUAUAUUCUCACUUAUGGGUAUAAAGGUAAGUUGAGUCCUCCUUUGAUAUUAACUCUGCCUUCAGUUACCCUUAACUUUCCUUUAGUCAGCUUUCAACCUAGCCUGAAGAGAAGCCUUUGGAACCCCUGUGUACAUGUUGAUGGGAAUGUAAAUUAGUACAGCCAUUAUGGAAAACAGUAUGGAGGUUCCUCAAAAAAUUAAAAUUAGAACUACCAUAUGCUCCAGCAAUACCAUUCGUGGGUAUAUAUCCAAAGGAAUUGAAAUCAGCAUAUCAGGGAGAUAUCUGUACUCUCAUGUACGUUGCAGCAUUAUUCAUAAUAGCCAAGAUAUGGAAUCAACCUAAAUGUCCAUCAAUGGAUGAAUGGAUAAUGAAAAAAUGUGACACACAUACAGACACAUACACAGAUAUAUAUACAAUGGUAUACUAUUUGGCUUUUAAAAAGAAGGAAAUCCUGUCAUUUGCAACAGUAUAGAUGAACCUGGAGGACAUUAUGCUAAGUGAAAUAAGCCGGGCACAGAAAGACAAAUGCUACAUGAUCUUAGUUUUAUGUGGAAUCUUAAAAAGUCGAACUCAUAGAAACAGAGAGUAGAAUGGUGGUUACCAGGAGCUGAGGGGUGGUUGUGGAACUGGGGAGAUACUGGUCAAAGUUUCCAAAUUUCAGACAGAAGAAAUGAGUACAAGAGAUCUAUUGUCUAUCAUGGUGACUGCAGUUAAUAGCAAUGUAUUGGAUUCUUGAAAAUUGCUAAGAGAGUAGAUCUUAAAUGUUCUCACAACAGAAAGUGAUAAGUAUGUGAGAUGAUGGAUAUGUUAAUUAGCUUGAUUUAACCAUUUCAUAACAUUAUCCAUAUAUCAAAACACAUUGUUCACUGUAAAUAUAUAUAAUUUUUGUCACCUAUACUGUAAUUUAAAAAAGUAAAUUAAAAAAAGAAGGAAAGACUUCAAAACCAACACAUUGAAUUACUCCCCUGGUAUAUUGUAAAUGCUUUAAAGCCUCAGCUUGGUUGUAAAUUCUUUAAAGCUGUGUCUUGUACUUUUUCUAUUCCAAAUGCAGAGCUAAGUAUAUAGUAAGGGCUUAAUAUAUUUUUCUUGAUUUAUUAUUCUACAAAAAACAAAGCUUACAGGAAGAGAGAUUGACUCUGUUUAUUAGGCUGAUGAACUAUGCUGUUCAGGCAGAGAAGAAACUUAGGGGACUUGUUGCAAGAAUGUUUUAGCAUUUUCUCAUUCAGCUCUGGUUUACUGGACAGACAUAUUCAGGAUAGUUUACUAAUUCUUUUAGGGCAUAAACACUUAUUCAUUCCACUAAUAGUCUUCUUUUCUAGAAGCUUUUAAAGAUAUGAGAAAUUAUUCUCAAUCCAAAAUGAUUUGAGGUUGGGGGAUAGGAGGUUUUUGGAGUGCUGGUUAGGGGAACCUGUUUCCAGGACUAUCUGGCAAACAUGAAAGUCCAGUCUCCACCCAAAGGACUAUAAAUCAUGCUGCUAUAAAGACACAUGCACACGUAUGUUUAUUGCGGCAUUAUUCACAAUAGCAAAGACUUGGAACCGACCCAAAUGUCCAACAAUGAUAGACUGGAUUAAGAAAAUGUGGCACAUAUACACCAUGG